UACGUAGGGGGCAAGCGUUGUCCGGAUUUAUUGGGCGUAAAGAGCGUGUAGGCGGCCAUACAGGUCAGCUGUGAAAACUCGAGGCUCAACCUCGAGACGUCGGUUGAAACCGUAUGGCUAGAGUCCGGAAGAGGAGAGUGGAAUUCCCGGUGUAGCGGUGAAAUGCGCAGAUAUCGGGAAGAACACCCGUGGCGAAGGCGGCUCUCUGGGACGGUACUGACGCUGUGGCGCGAAAGCUAGGGGAGCGAACGGG
rnacentral:rRNA from 1 species